UACAGAGGGUGCAAGCGUUAAUCGGAAUUACUGGGCGUAAAGCGUGCGUAGGUGGUUCUUUAAGUCAGGUGUGAAAUCCCCGGGCUCAACCUGGGAACUGCAUUUGAUACUGAAGAGCUAGAGUGUGGUAGAGGAUAGUGGAAUUCCCGGUGUAGCGGUGAAAUGCGUAGAUAUCGGGAGGAACAUCAGUGGCGAAGGCGGCUAUCUGGACUAACACUGACACUGAGGUACGAAAGCGUGGGUAGCAAACAGGAUUAGAAACCCGGGUAGU
rnacentral:rRNA from 1 species